AUUAAUGAUUGAAAAAACUUUGCUUCCCAUAGGUGAAAGAUGCUAAAAAAGUUGCUAUGAAACCAUGGGUGUGAGCUGGGCUACCCGAAGCUGCGGUUUAGCUGAUGAUGCUCACCAAUGCUGCCAUCUACGGGAAAUUAUUCUCCAUUGCGGACCUUCAGGCACAUCUCACACUGCUGCACUGCCAUGGAAAUAGCUUCAUUUUUCUGUACAGUUUCAGUCAUCUCGCUUGCCAGAUAGGAAAUUCCCUCUAGCUGCCAGGAGCACUCAGCAUAAUCCCAUCAAGAACAACUCCAAGUGCUGUCAGCAAGCAGUCAGCAGCAGCUCAAGUGUGACUGUGUGGAGAUUCUAUUUGCAACCACUGACUGGAAUUUUGCCAUCUGUAUCAAACCUAUGGUACACAGAGGAAAGAAGGCGAGUAUGUGAACAUCAGUUUGCAAUGAACUGAAGGCUGUGAUGAAAAGCCAAUUACCACGGGUGGGCAGAUGGAAGGACACCUGAGCUGUGCAAGGAUGCUUGGAGCAGCAUAGAGGCAUGUAAAGAUGCUGGAUUAAAUCACAGCACUUCUCUGUGAUGCAUUCAGCAUCUGUUCUUGCAUCCUCAUGAGACCAGCUCUGUUACACUAAUCCUGCAUUUGGAGAAGGAAUUUUGGGGUGCGCUUUGUCCUACACCACGACUAAAGCUCAGGGAACAAUGAUCAGAACCAACACGAUGGAUAAAAGAAGAGGGAAAUGCUACCAUUACCAACAGGCAGAAUAUGAGCAACUGGUCUUGGAGACGCCACUGAGUGCUACCUAUAGUGUCUGGCA
ensembl:lncRNA